rnacentral:rRNA from 1 species
UACGUAGGUGGCAAGCGUUGUCCGGAUUUAUUGGGCGUAAAGGGAGCGCAGGCGGUGACUUAAGUCUGAUGUGAAAGCCUACGGCUCAACCGUGGAAGGUCAUUGGAAACUGGGUCACUUGAAUAUAGAAGAGGAAAGUGGAAUUCCAUGUGUAGCGGUGAAAUGCGUAGAUAUAUGGAGGAACACCAGUGGCGAAGGCGACUUUCUGGUCUAUUAUUGACGCUGAGGCUCGAAAGCAUGGGUAGCAAACAGGAUUAGAUA